UGGGGGCAACUGUCCCAGUUUGACUAGGACUGAGGAGUUUCCUGGGAUAUGGAAUUUUAGUGCUAAAAUGGAGAAAGUCCUGGACAAACUGGGAUGGUUGGUCACUUCAGGGCCAU
rnacentral:miRNA from 1 species